rnacentral:rRNA from 1 species
AGGUUACUGCUAUCGGUGUUCGCCUAAGCCAUGCGAGUCAUAUGUUCUUCGUGAACAUGGCGUACUGCUCAGUAACACGUGGAUAACCUGCCCUUGGGUCCGGCAUAACCCCGGGAAACUGGGGAUAAUUCCGGAUAACGCACAUAUGCUGGAAUGCUUUAUGCGUCAAAUGGAUUCGUCCGCCCAAGGAUGGGUCUGCGGCCUAUCAGGUAGUAGUGGGUGUAAUGUACCUACUAGCCUACGACGGGUACGGGUUGUGAGAGCAAGAGCCCGGAGAUGGAUUCUGAGACAUGAAUCCAGGCCCUACGGGGCGCAGCAGGCGCGAAAACUUUACAAUGCGGGAAACCGUGAUAAGGGGACACCGAGUGCCAGCAUCAUAUGCUGGCUGUCCGGGUGUGUAAAAUACACCUGUUAGCAAGGGCCGGGCAAGACCGGUGCCAGCCGCCGCGGUAACACCGGCGGCCCGAGUGGUGAUCGUGAUUAUUGGGUCUAAAGGGUCCGUAGCCGGUUUGGUCAGUCCUCCGGGAAAUCUGACGGCUUAACCGUUAGGCUUUCGGGGGAUACUGCCAGACUUGGAACCGGGAGAGGUAAGAGGUACUACAGGGGUAGGAGUGAAAUCUUGUAAUCCCUGUGGGACCACCUGUGGCGAAGGCGUCUUACCAGAACGGGUUCGACGGUGAGGACGAAAGCUGGGGGCACGAACCGGAUUAGAUACCCGGGUAGUCCCAGCCGUAAACGAUGCUCGCUAGGUGUCAGGCAUGGCGCGACCGUGUCUGGUGCCGCAGGGAAGCCGUGAAGCGAGCCACCUGGGAAGUACGGCCGCAAGGCUGAAACUUAA